UACAGAGGUCUCAAGCGUUGUUCGGAUUCAUUGGGCGUAAAGGGUGCGUAGGUGGCGGGGUAAGUCAGGUGUGAAAUUUCGGAGCUUAACUCCGAAACUGCAUUUGAUACUGCCUUGCUUGAGGACUGGAGAGGAGACUGGAAUUCACGGUGUAGCAGUGAAAUGCGUAGAGAUCGUGAGGAAGACCAGUGGCGAAGGCGGGGUCUCUGGACAGGUUCCUGACAC
rnacentral:rRNA from 1 species